GUAGGUGAACCUGCGGAAGGAUCAUUAACACGUAUCCAAACGUUAAACCCUACAAGAGCAGGCGUAGUUCGCAAUCUCUGGUAAAUCAAGUGGGAGGAAAGUUGUUUGAAUCAGAACGUGACAACAAUGGAACAGUUACAAUCGAGCGGUAGUUUCAUAGGCAUUGUUUCCCAAGCAGUGUCGGAAAGUGUCACUGAUUGUGCAAGGAUAGCGCUUCACGAUUCCUGUAGACCGUACACUAGGGUCCCCAUGCCCCCUAAUAACCCCACAGUUUAAUGUAAAGCUCAAUGUAAUACAUUGGGGAAAAAAAACCGAACAACUGUUAACAAUGGAUAUCUUGGUUCUC
rnacentral:misc_RNA from 1 species